UAGUGUAGUCCCUCUGGGUGAGUGUGUACAGUACGCUCAGUACGUGCCCUUUUCCCCCUUUUUAGGCGCCACAAUUAUGUAAUGGACAGGAAGUGCCACAUGUUAAACACAGCUGGAACGUGAGUCCUUCCUCUCCGGGAAGGCAGCCAGCCCAGUAGGCAGGCUCCCAUGUAAUCUAUACUCCUUGGCAAAAAAUGAAUGGGGGUCAAUGGGCAUGUGAAUGCCAAAUUAAUGUAAAUAAUAUAAAAUCUACAGUAGCUAUCUCACCAAAUCGGUCGAGCCACUACACCUUCCUGCCAAGUUGCAUGUAUUGUCUUUCAUCCAAAAUCAUUUAAUAAAUGUGCAAAAAAUCCUCUAAGUGUAUGUUUUAAACUUAUUUCUUUAAAACCAGUGCUGAACUUGAAUUGGAACUGGGUAUUAUGGUCAGAUGUGGGUUUGUUGUGGGAAGAACUCUUAUUUUGAAAAGGAUGUAAUACCUACAUUGAAAUAUGGUGGUGGCUCUUAUAGUCGAGGUUAUGGGGUUAUCCUGAGGCUCUUGUGAAGGUCAAUGGAAUCAUGAGAUUCCAGCAGGUAAGUAAAACUUGGUUUACCCCCCCCUCCCCUUUUAUUUCUCUUAUGACCUGUCUUGUAGUGGCCAUUCUUGAAUUGUAUCUUAUUUAGCUAGGUGGCUAAUGCUACAACUUUGCUAAUUCAGAAGCCAUGAGAAUACAGUCUUUCACAUUGGUGUAUUUAGAGCUUGAAAUCUCUGGGGCAGUGUGGAUGACCAAAGCAAGUAGCCUAUCUAACUGAGGAAGUUCAUAGUGAGUAUUUGGGGAAUUCUGUCUUUGCGGAAAUUGCCUAAACUGUAGAGGUUUCUACAAUUAUUUAAUAAACUGUAAAUAUUCAAAAUCACUAUCAUCUGCAUAACUAAUCCACCAAAAUUUAUGUAAACAUUAAAUUUUAAUUUGUCGACCUAUGGAAACCUGAAGAGCAUCUGUCAAUAGUUGAAUCUCCUCUACCGCUGGUAAACUUGCACAGAUAUGAGAGAGACUUGAAUUAGACGAGAAGGAUCUUAGGUGGGCAACUCUUAUUAUUGUGGGAGAUGGCAAGAAGAGCCUUAUUUGAUGUGUUUUAAAAGGCUAGAUGCAGGUGGAGACAGGAAGCAGGACUCAUGUCAUUGAGUGAUAUGUAUAACUAUUCAGAACUGGGCAUUGAAAAUGGGAAUUAGCCUUUGGGGGCACAAUGUUUUUCAUAUGGAAUUGUACAUUUUAUACAUGGGUCAAGCUUUCCACUGAAAGAAUAUCAGAGAUGAGGACCAUUGUCCUCAUAAAAAAAUGAAAAGAAGGUAAGCUUUCUCUUGUUUUCUCUUGUUUUUAAGAUGCUGAAAAAAGUAGGGUGAACUGCUCACUCCCGAAAUACUGUGUGAUUGUUCAUCAUGUCAAGUUAGGUUGUCAAAGGUGAACACCAGAAAGAACUGUUAAGUUGUCUAAUACCCUGGGUUGUCUGCGUAACUUCUGAUUCUGUAAAUGGGUACAUUUAGCAUUUCUUUUUUGCAUCAAUUAUGACUGAUUCUCGCACACAAGGUCUAAGAACCCACAUAUUCCUAACAAGGGGUUAUGCUACGAUUCAGAAAAUUGCAUUGUUAUAGAGGAUAAAUAGAAGAGGUUAGCAAGGACUAAAAUAUGGAAAGAUUGCAACAUACAACAUAAUUUUAUUGUAUCCAGUGGAGGAAGUGAUGGUCUGGUGAUCUGGUCCUUCUUUAGCUUCCAAAGUCUCAGGAUUGAAUGGCUGUUGGUUCCAGGCUCCAAGUAGGGCCACAAGCAUCCCAAGCAUGAGCCAGGCAGUCCAGGCCUACUGGUGGGGAGAGGAGGCCAGCACAACACCCACGGCCCUGAUUCAGUUCAGGGGCCUCCUACUGAUAUUUACAGGAAAUAUCUUAUGGAGGGAGGUUAACUGAAAGAAUCCAGACGCACCAGACCAGUCACGGUACUACUCGCCUGCCCAGAGGGGAACCCCUGAGGGGGGUCUGGCUGUACCUCGAUGAUGCCCAGGUGCUUCAUGAAGACAACAGAAUUGAUGCAUUACAUUUCCUGGAUAUUUUUUUAUUUUUUUUUUAUUUUUUUGAAUUCGAUAUCCAAAAGGGCUCAUCUUUUCGGGGAAAUUUGUUUUCAGUGAAUUUACCACCAUUGUUAAAAGGGAGUACUACUGGAUUUGUCACUGGUGCACAUUUUGACAGCUGAUAUUCCUUGUUACUUUUCUAAAUCUGCAUUCCAUCAAGGCUCCCACAGAUCAGCAUGUGUUACUGAGAUUUGGGCUCUGUUUUGUGAAU